rfam:Callithrix jacchus chromosome 2, whole genome shotgun sequence
GGACGUGAGGGCGAUCUGGCUGUGACAUCUGUCACCCCACUGAUUGCCAGGGUUGAUUGAGAUGAUCAGGAUGGCUAGACCAGUGUUCCCUUCCUCCCUCAUUGUUCCAUGUGCAUCCUUCACAAAGCUGCACACUCAGUCGAAGAGAACCAGUCUUGAUAGAGAGGACCAGUCUUUUGUCAAGGGCAUGGGAGUAGUUGCAUUCCACUGUUAGAACCUCCAAACAAGGUCUCAAAAUUGCACUUUGUUAAAUAAUCUAUCCAUUCAUUUUUUAUUAUUUUAAAACCAUUUAUAUUAAAAUAAUUAUCAGGAGAAUCAGGUUUGCUAA